UCCGCUUUACAGCGGCAGUUUCGUCCGAGUUCCCGGCUUUACCCGCUGGUAACAGACAAUGAGGGUUGCGCUCGUUGCGGGACUUAACCCAACAUUUCACAACACGAGCUGACGACAGCCAUGCACCACCUGUGCACCACCCUCGAAGGCGACUAUGUUUCCAUAGCGUGCAGGUGCAUGUCAGGCCCUGGUAAGGUUCUUCGCGUUGCAUCGAAUUAAGCCACAUGCUCCACCGCUUGUGCGGGCCCCCGCCAAUUCCUUUGAGUUUCACCCUUGCGGGCGUACUCCCCAGGUGGAUUACUUAACGCUUUCGCUAAGACGCUGACUGUGUAUCGCCAACAUCGAGUAAUCAUCGCUUACAGCGUGGACUAC
rnacentral:misc_RNA from 1 species